GUAGGUGGCAAGCGUUGUCCGGAAUUAUUGGGGGGUAAAGCGCGCGCAGGCGGUCCUUUAAGUCUGAUGUGGGAAGCCCACGGGCUCAACCGUGGAGGGUCAUUGGAAACUGGGGGACUUGAGUACAGAAGAGGAAAGCGGAAUUCCAAGUGUAGCGGUGAAAUGCGUAGAGAUUUGGAGGAACACCAGUGGCGAAGGCGGCUUCCUGGUCUGUAACUGACGCUGAGGCGCGAAAGCGUGGGGAGCAAACAGGAUUAGAUACCCUGGUAGUCCACGCCGUAAACGAUGAGUGCUAAGUGUUAGGGGGUUUCCGCCCCUUAGUGCUGCAGCUAACGCAUUAAGCACUCCGCCUGGGGAGUACGGCCGCAAAGGCUGA
rnacentral:rRNA from 1 species